rnacentral:lncRNA from 1 species
CCCGCCGGCAAGGACCGGGAGAUUUUGGGUGCACGGGGUCCGGGUGCCACGCUCUUCUCCUCUCCUUCUUCCCCCUUGGAUGAUGGGAUUUUGUUCCUCCACCCGGUGCCAAUCCUGCAGAGCGAGUUGGCGCCGGGACCGCUCGCCGCUCUCCAUCCCGUGACACCCCGCACGUCACCUCCCUGCCGGGGCCGAGCUCGAAGCCCCGAGCGCGCAGGAAGGGACGGAGCCGGGCACGGGCACCAGCAGCCCCCGCGGGAGCUCGGGCUGAGAGCAGGAGGCCUCCCUUGGUGUAAAUCGGGGCAGGAUGCGGCCGGCAGCGCAGGCGCUCGCGUCUCUCCCGUCAGCUGAACUGAAACCCUGGAUCCCACCGAGCCAGCAACUGGGAUCUGGAGCCAAAGGGCCGGGGGCGCUCCAGGCACCUGGCGUCCCCCACCCCACGAGCAGAUGUGCUCCAGCCUCUCCCUGUGUCAGUGCCUCUAAAACCUUCCCUAAAUCCUAAUUAAAUUUCUCACGUUUUCCCCCCACCCCCCGCCAGCUCACUCCUCCCCAAAUGCUGGAGUUGGAACGAGC